UCAAGUAAAAUUUAGCUGAAAUAGUUCUUUUUUUUUUUAAACAAAACAACUUGUAUUAAUAAAAGAAUAUAUAAUACAAGUGAGUGGAAAAAAUAACCACAGGGAACUCAAGAAAAACAAAAACUAAGAAAAGGUAAAAAGGUAGCUUAACUACCACAACAAUGAUAUACAAAACAGAACAUUACAACAAAAAAUUCCCUCUCAACCAAUCUGUGAAUCAAAAGUCUUUGAAGUCCUUAUUUGAGUGGCCCAAAGAGCACCACUCAUUAUAAAUUUAUCCCAAAUUUCUCCACCCUGUUUUCCAUUUCCUCAAAGAUUUUCUUAUUCUUCUCUAGUCAAAUAACCCAACAGAUAGCUGUUACUACAAUCUGCCAAAGAGUCUUCUUCGCCUUUGAGCUGCUCACCUGAAACAAAAAGCACCUAGAUAGUUUGCUGGAACACACCAGACCAUUUUAAAUUCUUCAAAUUCUUGUACCAAACUUGGAUUGAGACCGGCCAGUGGAAGAACAAGCCAUCUGCAUUUUCAGAAUUCUUCUUACACAAAACACACCAAUCUUUGGCUGAACACCAUAACUACAAACCAGCUAUGAUUACCGCUUUGGCUUUACAGUCAUUUCAUGUAACCGUUAUAUGCGAUAGAUGAUGAAUAUGAUGAUAAUUGCUCUAGAAAAGUUUCCCUUUCCUGUUUUGAUCUGUGAAGGUGGCACGUUGCGUUUUGGACAUUAAUUUUGCAUUAAAAAAAAGCAUUACAGAAGUUUUUAUGAUCUAUUGUUGGCUGUGGCUAUUUUGUUGUUGUGGAUAUACUCGGGUCUCCAUUGCCCCUGAUUUUUUAUGCACUACCAUUCUAACUUUGGCCCUUUUAACUUUCAAGCGUCUCAUUUUAAAGUUUGAGGGCCAAAUAAAUACUCUCUUUAAAAAAAUGUAAAGUGAAGGAGAUAAAUAGUGUAACUGUAAGGGUUUUUUCUAACUGACAAAAUAAUACUUUUUCAUUACUCUCUUUUUCAAAGGAAAAAAAUGUCCAGUUAACAAUAGUUUCCGCAGCUAGUGUUAUGGUGCUCUAAAUUUGAUUAUUGUACCCUUCCUAAGACUAUUUCAUGGUGUGGAAAACUAUUUAUGGCUCUGAGGUUUUUUUUCUUAAAAAAAUAGAUGUUGAAGGAGAUAGCUUCUGACUAGACAAUCUCUAGAAAAAGGUUGAGAUAUGACUUUACUUGUCCAUUCAGGCCAUUUUUGCCAAGUACUUCUGAUUUCUGUUUUCCAUGGUUGGACUAUGUGCUCUUUCUUCUGGAUUGCUCAUAUUUUGAUGCUUCUCUGAAUUUUCAUAAUGUGUUUUCUAACCAGGAAGGCAAUGUUGCCAACCAGAGGGAACAUCUAAUUCUUCUCCUUGCCAAUAUUCACAUUCAGAAAGCUAAUAAGCAGACUGUCUUGAAGGUAUUCUGAUUGUUAAUUAAGGUUGUAAAGCUUUGGCUUUAACUAAUCCUCUUAUAUAAAUUUUACUUUAUGAUAUUUGGAGUCUAAUGUCAAAACUGGAUAUUUAUGCAGCAUUGUUCCUUUGUAAAUUUCUAUUUAAUUAGCAUUUGAAACAUUAGUGGUGAAAUUUGGGUUUUCAAUAAGGUCUUAUAUUUCUUUGAAACUCUUUUAUGACUCUUUAAUUUAAGGUCAAUCACUAGAGUCUUGCUUGGUUUCUCACCAAUGUUAUUGGUACUGCAGUAUAUCCUUUUGCCAAUCAGUGACCUUGAUUCUUGGUUGAAGACACACUCCAUAUAUGUUUUUGAUUGCUCUGCAGCUGGGGGAAUAUUGUGAAUGCUUUUAUUGAGGUAAAGCUUUAACUCAAAACAUAUAAUGAAUUGAUAUAUGUAUUGAUAAUUAAGGUGUUGUGUUGUUUGUUUAAAGCUGUAGGAAGUUAGAAAUGGCAUGGUAUUUAAAAUACAGAGAAAUCAAUCCUUAUUCCUAAAUCCAACUCGACCGAUGCCUUGUGACGUGAUUGGUUUGAAUAGAUGCUUUGAAAUAUACACAAGUUAACUAAUCACUGCCUCUAUUUUGGGCAGUGAAUGCUUUUUCUUAUGAGACUAAAUUGUUUUUGUUGUAUUUUAAGUUGUGGAUAACAAUUGGUUUUUAUUUUUUAAGAUAACAAUUAGUUUUUGUGCUGUGGAUCAUUAGAUCUGUUUUAUUAACAUAAGGAUGUAAUAUUUGCUUCUACAUUUACUAUCAUUCUAGUCAUAAAAAUUUAGUAUAGUUUAGUUACCUUCCUAAACAGAUGGAAGGUGAUCAACAGAGAGCCUCUGAACAGACUAAGAACAUCUUAAGUAAUUUAGUUGCUGCUGUUGACAAUUUGUGGUAUCUAAAAGAUGGAGUACAUACUGUAGUCUUGAAAAAACUUUCAGAAAAUGGAUCUUGCAGGCAAAGGACACCAAGUGAAUUAGAUAGAGAGGUUAAGAACUUGAGGGUGGCAUUUACUGACCUGUUUUUGAAGCAUAACACUUUCAAAGAAACUGCAAAGCCAUCGAGAUAUUGAUGCAAAGAAUAAAGUCGAGCUUAGAAUAUUAAGAGGUAACUCCUAGUGAGUGGAGAGAAGGCACUUCAACUUGGAUUGCAAGUAAUUGCAAAGAUUAAGGGCUAUGCUGAUGCAGCUCAGGUACUCCAAUGAAUUGGCUUCCUAGUUCUAUUUUACUGUUGCUGAAACAUAGCUCAAAGCUAGAUAAUUUCUUUCAAGUUGAUUUACUUUAUAUGCUUACAGGUGGAAACUAGCUUAAGUCUUGUGUUCUUAAUAAUAAAAAGACUUUUUUUUUUACAAUGUGCAGGUAUAUUGAGAUGAUUUCUUUGGAGCAAUUCUUGACAACAUUUGUAGUUGAGGCCUUUAGAAUGGAAGAAUGUAUUUCAUUAAUUUUUGUAUACAUUUCUUGUUUUGUAUUUAGUGAUAAAGGAAUCUCAAUUGGGCAUAAAUUAUGUUGUAAUAUGAUUUCUUAAGCCUAGACUAGUAGACUAAAUAUUGUAAUUACAUUUGAGUAAUUAAUAAAAAUCUAUUUAUGUUA